CCCUUAGAGUUUGAUCCUGGCUCAGGACGAACGCUGGCGGCGCGCCUAACACAUGCAAGUCGAACGAGAGAUGAAGAGCUUGCUCUUCAAAUCGAGUGGCGAACGGGUGAGUAACGCGUGAGGAACCUGCCUCAAAGAGGGGGACAACAGUUGGAAACGACUGCUAAUACCGCAUAAGCCCACGGCUCGGCAUCGAGCAGAGGGAAAAGGAGCAAUCCGCUUUGAGAUGGCCUCGCGUCCGAUUAGCUAGUUGGUGAGGUAAUGGCCCACCAAGGCGACGAUCGGUAGCCGGACUGAGAGGUUGAACGGCCACAUUGGGACUGAGACACGGCCCAGACUCCUACGGGAGGCAGCAGUGGGGAAUAUUGCACAAUGGGGGAAACCCUGAUGCAGCGACGCCGCGUGGAGGAAGAAGGUCUUCGGAUUGUAAACUCCUGUUGUUGAGGAAGAUAAUGACGGUACUCAACAAGGAAGUGACGGCUAACUACGUGCCAGCAGCCGCGGUAAAACGUAGGUCACAAGCGUUGUCCGGAAUUACUGGGUGUAAAGGGAGCGCAGGCGGGAGAACAAGUUGGAAGUGAAAUCCAUGGGCUCAACCCAUGAACUGCUUUCAAAACUGUUUUUCUUGAGUAGUGCAGAGGUAGGCGGAAUUCCCGGUGUAGCGGUGGAAUGCGUAGAUAUCGGGAGGAAUACCAGUGGCGAAGGCGGCCUACUGGGCACCAACUGACGCUGAGGCUCGAAAGUGUGGGUAGCAAACAGGAUUAGAUACCCUGGUAGUCCACACCGUAAACGAUGAUUACUAGGUGUUGGAGGAUUGACCCCUUCAGUGCCGCAGUUAACACAAUAAGUAAUCCACCUGGGGAGUACGACCGCAAGGUUGAAACUCAAAUGAAUUGACGAAGGGCGAA
rnacentral:rRNA from 1 species